rnacentral:ncRNA from 1 species
UUUGACUCAACACGGGGAAACUCACCAGGUCCAGACACAAUGAGGAUUGACAGAUUGAGAGCUCUUUCUUGAUUUUGUGGGUGGUGGUGCAUGGCCGUUCUUAGUUGGUGGAGUGAUUUGUCUGCUUAAUUGCGAUAACGAACGAGACCUUAACCUGCUAAAGCUGGCGCAGGGAGGUGCGGCCUGCACGCUCCUGCGCCCCGGCUUAAGAUAUAGUCUACUCCUGCUCCGAGAGGAGAGGUAACCGAAAAGCUCUUAAGGUAGCCAAAUGCCUCGUCAUCUAAUUAGUGACGCGCAUGAAUGG